CGGCGGACGGGUGAGUAACGCGUGGGUAACCUACCCUGUACACACGGAUAACAUACCGAAAGGUAUGCUAAUACGGGAUAAUAUAUUUGAGAGGCAUCUCUUGAAUAUCAAAGGUGAGCCAGUACAGGAUGGACCCGCGUCUGAUUAGCUAGUUGGUAAGGUAACGGCUUACCAAGGCGACGAUCAGUAGCCGACCUGAGAGGGUGAUGGCCACAUUGGAACUGAGACACGGUCCAA
rnacentral:rRNA from 1 species